rnacentral:rRNA from 1 species
ACGCUCGACACCUACGGGGCAGCAGUGGGGAAUAUUGCACAAUGGGGGAAACCCUGAUGCAGCGACGCCGCGUGAGUGAAGAAGUAAUUCGUUAUGUAAAGCUCUAUCAGCAGGGAAGAAAGUGACGGUACCUGAGUAAGAAGCCCCGGCUAACUACGUGCCUGCAGCCGCGGUAAUCUGAGCGGGCUGGCAAGGC